rnacentral:lncRNA from 1 species
UUCUUUCUUGUCUUUCUUUUUCUCUCAGAAGGAUAUAGACCUUCACCUUGCACACAAGGAUUCCUCACACCCAGAUUUUCUCUCUAAAAUUUUUCUUUUACACACACCCCACUCUUCUCCUCCUUUUAAAACAAUGUCAAACAUCUUAUCCACAUGAGAGGAUAAAGAUGAGUAAUUGCACAUUUGAAUUCAAAUCAAAUUUUGAAUUUAAAUGGAAAUCAAUUUAUCCCUAUCCACUAAGGGCGUGAGAAGAGGAGGGCAUGGCUUAAUUUGUGCAUGAGUAAUUUCAUGAGAAACAUUUUCUCGUGUAAUAAAUGGGGCACUAAAAGAGGAUAAGGUCAAGGCGCUAAGAUUGGUUGCUCAUUCAAAUUCAAACUUUGUUUUAAAUUUGAAUAGCUAUCCUGAUUCUCGAUCACAGAGUCCCAGACAUGUAGGACUCAUAGUCCAUGAGCAUUAGGACUCUUCAUCAGCCAUCAGAUCAGAUAGGAACCUCUAAUGUGUGUGACCCCACAGGUUCGAACCUAAGCCGGUAGCACAGGAAUCAAUUCCUAUACUAAUCAAAGUGACCAUCUAGCAAUGGUAUCUGAUCACUGGAUAGGUCGAAUAGUCGCAAUCACAACACUCAGAACCUACGUGAAUAUGGUUACAGUAUAAUUCAUCCUUUUGACCUCUGUGUUUAGGAUGACUCAGGGUUAAACUGUCCAUCCUGAUUAGAUCAUCCGAAUCAUGCUCAACUCAAACAGCCCUGUGACUCCUCACAAAGACUACCUUGGUCAAGAUUUUGCUAAAUUGAAAUACGACUGUACACAGCUCCUAAACUGGAGUGGUCAAUCCCAUCUUGACAUACGCACCGACAAGUCAAAUACUUGACUACACCCAGCAGCCUUCUGUCACUGAAUUAGAAAUUCAGGUAGUCCAAUGCCUAAGUACAGUGAGUUGCUUGCAAGUCACCGUGGCGGUCUCAGAUCGGAGGGAUAUUUAUACCCAUAUUCCAUCGGAGCAAAUCUUGACAGCAAAAAUAGCUCCGG